UACAGAGGUGGCAAGCGUUGUUCGGAAUUACUGGGCGUAAAGGGCGCGUAGGCGGUCUUGCAAGUCCUGUGUGAAAUCCCUCGGCUCAACUGAGGAACUGCACAGGAAACUGCUUGGCUUGAGUUCGGGAGAGGGAAGCGGAAUUCCUGGUGUAGCGGUGAAAUUCGUAGAGAUCAGGAAGAACACCAGUGGCGAAGGCGCUCUGCUAGGCCGCAACUGACACUGAGGGACGAAAGCUAGGGGAGCGAAUGGG
rnacentral:rRNA from 1 species